CCCCCGGGGCCAUCGGAGCAGCUGCUCCCAGACUGCUCCAGAGGACUGAUGAAUCAGCGUUGUUGCCUCCUGUCCCUCCCCCACUUACAAAUGGCUCUUCCCCCCACGGCCCCUUCCAGCCCCAAGCACCCCAGCUGCUCCCCUUGUGGGGGAAGCGAGACACUGAGCAGGGAAGUGGCUUGACCAAAGGCACACAGGGAAGCCAGGAGUCCUGACUCGCAGUCCCCCUCUACCCACUAGUCCCCAUCUCCUCAUGGACUGAGCUACAGGCCAGGCACCCUGACUGACGCUAACCACUGAGAAACAGCCAGGGGGAGGAGGCAUGUCUCUGAUCCUGGUGGGUGGUGCCUAAGCUGGGAGGUGACUUGUCUAUUUUGUUCUUUGGUCAGGUGUGAACAUUUCAGAGCCAGCUCCCUCCUUGCCUCCCAACAGCCCCCGGGCACCGCUGGAGUCCUUGGGUAAUUUCAGUGGCUGGGCCAUCAGCACAGAGCAGCUCCCUCCCAAGGCGGGCGUCAGGAAGCCUGGCUCUGGGGAUCCGUGCUUCAGCUGGUGCAUCAAAGAGCAGCGGGUUGACCUGCUGUCGGAGGGGCUGUGGGAGGAGCUUCUGGACUCUUACCAGCCCAACAUCACCGUCAUGGACUGGUACGAGGACAGCCGGCUGGCUGAGGUUGUGUACAAGCUGGACGGCAGGCUGCCGGCGGGCG